rnacentral:rRNA from 1 species
CCUACGGGGGGCAGCAGUCGAGAAUCAUUCACAAUGGGGGAAACCCUGAUGGUGCGACGCCGCGUGGGGGAAUGAAGGUCUUCGGAUUGUAAACCCCUGUCAUGUGGGAGCAAAUUAAAAAGAUAGUACCACAAGAGGAAGAGACGGCUAACUCUGUGCCAGCAGCCGCGGUAAUACAGAGGUCUCAAGCGUUGUUCGGAAUCACGGGGCGUAAAGCGUGCGUAGGCUGGUUCGUCAGUCGUGUGUGAAAGGCGCGGGCUCAACCCGCGGACGGCACAUGAUACUGCGAGACUAGAGUGAUGGAGGGGGAACCGGAAUUCUCGGUGUAGCAGUGAAAUGCGUAGAUAUCGAGAGGAACACUAGUGGCGAAGGCGGGUUCCUGGACAUUAACUGACGCUGAGGCACGAAGGCCAGGGGAGCGAAAGGGAUUAGAUACCCCUGUAGUC